rnacentral:rRNA from 1 species
AGUGAACGCUGGCGGUAGGCCUAACACAUGCGAGUCGAACGGCAGCACAGUAAGAGCUUGCUCUUACGGGUGGCGAGUGGCGGACGGGUGAGGAAUACAUCGGAAUCUACUUUUUCGUGGGGGAUAACGUAGGGAAACUUACGCUAAUACCGCAUACGACCUACGGGUGAAAGCAGGGGAUCUUCGGACCUUGCGCGAUUGAAUGAGCCGAUGUCGGAUUAGCUAGUUGGCGGGGUAAAGGCCCACCAAGGCGACGAUCCGUAGCUGGUCUGAGAGGAUGAUCAGCCACACUGGAACUGAGACACGGUCCAGACUCCUACGGGAGGCAGCAGUGGGGAGUAUUGGACAAUGGGCGCAAGCCUGAUCCAGCCAUACCGCGUGGGUGAAGAAGGCCUUCGGGUUGUAAAGCCCUUUUGUUGGGAAAGAAAGGCAGCAGGUUAAUACCCCGCUGUUCUGACGGUACCCAAAGAAUAAGCACCGGCUAACUUCGCG